rnacentral:rRNA from 1 species
UACGAAGGGGGCUAGCGUUGCUCGGAAUUACUGGGCGUAAAGCGCACGUAGGCGGCUUUCUAAGUCGGGGGUGAAAUCCUGGAGCUCAACUCCAGAACUGCCUUCGAUACUGGAGAGCUUGAGUCCGGGAGAGGUGAGUGGAACUGCGAGUGUAGAGGUGAAAUUCGGUAGAUAUUCGCAAGAACACCAGUGGCGAAAGGCG